GAUGAACGCUGGCGGCGUGCCUAAUACAUGCAAGUCGAGCGAACAGACGAGGAGCUUGCUCCUCUGACGUUAGCGGCGGACGGGUGAGUAACACGUGGAUAACCUACCUAUAAGACUGGGAUAACUUCGGGAAACCGGAGCUAAUACCGGAUAAUAUAUUGAACCGCAUGGUUCAAUAGUGAAAGACGGUUUUGCUGUCACUUCUAGAUGGAUCCGCGCUGCAUUAGCUAGUUGGUAAGGUAACGGCUUACCAAGGCAACGAUGCGUAGCCGACCUGAGAGGGUGAUCGGCCACACUGGAACUGAGACACGGUCCAGACUCCUACGGGAGGCAGCAGUAGGGAAUCUUCCGCAAUGGGCGAAAGCCUGACGGAGCAACGCCGCGUGAGUGAUGAAGGUCUUCGGAUCGUAAAACUCUGUUAUUAGGGAAGAACAAAUGUGUAAGUAACUGUGCACGUCUUGACGGUACCUAAUCAGAAAGCCACGGCUAACUACGUG
rnacentral:rRNA from 1 species